UUCACUAAGUAAAAUGUUCAUAAUUCUAAAAUCUUACACUUCAAUUAUCUUGCUCAUAUACUACACAAAAACUAGAGCUCUUAAGUGCAAAGAUCAAUUUUUUACAACACAAGACUGUACAUUGGCUAAGAACUAGACCUAGAACUAUAUAGCAUAUAGUUUCUUAUACUGAUCUUCAGGGAUCUCUGAUUCUGACAUGAUUGAUACGGACCGUGACAACGUCUUGCUACUCCGAGCUGAUUUCCUCUGACUUCUCAGAUUCGAAGACUCAAUACGAUGCAUAACAACCCAGUAACACAGUGUACCUAGUGUCGCGACCAUGAUAAAAGUUCCCAUAAAAGUUACUGCACUUGCCAUCCAUCUUUCAUCUUUACCUAUAACAAUAUAUGACAAUGCAAGAAACGCUACGGAGACAAAAACACAAGCCAACCACAUUAG
rnacentral:misc_RNA from 1 species